rnacentral:rRNA from 1 species
CCGGACCUUACUGCUAUCGGGGUGGGACUAANACNUGNNAGUUGAGCGUCUCUAGCUAUGUUGAGACGCAGCAGACGGCUCAGUAACACGUGGCUAACCUGCCCUCANGACGAGUAUAAUCCCGGGAAACUGGGGCUAAUACUCGAUAGGUGAGAAUAUCUGGAAUGAUUUCUCACUCAAAGGAUUUAGAAACAUGCUUCUAAUAUCGCCUGGGGAUGGGGCCGCGUCCGAUCAGGUUGUUGGUGAGGUAACGGCUCACCAAGCCUAUAACCGGUACGGGCCGUGAGAGCGGUAGCCCGGAGAUGGGUACUGAGACAAGGACCCAGGCCCUACGGGGCGCAGCAGUCGCGAAAACUCCGCAAUGCACGAAAGUGUGACGGGGCUACCCCGAGUGCUUCCCGCUGAGGGGGGCUUUUCUUUGGUAUAAUUAGCCAUUGGAAUAAGGAGAGGGCAAGACUGGUGUCAGCCGCCGCGGUAAUACCAGCUNCUCCGAGUGGUAGG